rnacentral:tRNA from 1 species
GAAAAUAAAGUACUAACUUAGUACGGUUUAUUUACAAUAAACAGGUCCAGAUACUUAAAUUACCUGGUAUUUUUA